GUAGGUGGCAAGCGUUGUCCGGAAUUAUUGGGGCGUAAAGCGCGCGCAGGCGGUUCUUUAAGUCUGAUGUGAAAGCCCACGGGCUCAACCGUGGAGGGUCAUUGGAAACUGGAGAACUUGAGUACAGAAGAGGAAAGCGGAAUUCCACGUGUAGCGGUGAAAUGCGUAGAGAUGUGGAGGAACACCAGUGGCGAAGGCGGCCUUCUGGUCUGUAACUGACGCUGAGGCGCGGAAGCGUGGGGAGCAAACAGGAUUAGAUACCCUGGUAGUCCACGCCGUAAACGAUGAGUGCUAAGUGUUAGGGGGUUUCCGCCCCUUAGUGCUGCAGCUAACGCAUUAAGCACUCCGCCUGGGAAGUACGGCCGCAACCGGACUUCG
rnacentral:rRNA from 1 species